ensembl:lncRNA
AUGCUAGUUAUAUUAUUUAUAUCUGUCUGCUUUAUUUAAUCGGCUCUCUGCUUUUGUUUUGUUUGUUUUUUGGCUUGUAUUUAAUGUUACACGCAUUUUUGUUCCUUUGUAAUUCAGCACAACAACGACAACAAAAAUAAUAAUAAUAAAUUAAUCAAUAAAUAAAAAAGUGCAUUGCAUUGAAUUUCAGUCCUUCGCUGCUCCAGGCUCCACCCACUCCCGCUUGAAAACCAAUCAGAUGUUUAAACAUCUUUCAGCGUCAUCAUCAUUAUCCAGCCCUCUCAUGCACGGCGCUCAGUUUCGCUUCCUGCGAUCUCGUGGAUUGUCGAAGCUGUCAAUCAUCAGAACACAAAACUGUGUUUGGUGUUGAGGCAGUAGAAGAAGUGAGGAAAGUGGAGGGAGAAUCUGCAAACCUACACAGCAGUGUACAAAAAUACCAGCGGAUCAUUUGACUGUUUGGACCUCAGAGAAAGAGAAUAGCUCAAUGUUGGGGAAACGUCAGUGAGAUCCCACGGUGUGAGAUUACUGACGAGCAAUUAAAAGACAGACUGAAGACAGACAGACAGACUGGAUCUCUCACCAUCAUCAACAUCAGAAAUGAAGACGCUGAACUUUAUAAUCUACAGAUCUUCAACAAUUUGACUGACGAGGAAUUCAGUGUUAUCAUCUCUGGUGAGUAAAUUCGUUAUAUUGUUAAUUCAUUCAACUUUUCAUUUGUUCAGCUUUCUCUAAAUUGUCAUAGUUAUUCUGACAUUGUAUGGCAGAGUAAAAAACAGAGAAAGAGACAUGCAUUCCCUUUAAGAGUUAAUGUUGAAGUGAGUAGAGUACAUAUAUUUAUAGCACAGCUGUUUGUGUUCAUCCAUAAAUAUGAGUUCAUAUAAUUUCUUAAAAGAUAUUUAUAUACCAAAUAGAUGCUACAGGUGACGACAGUGAGUCGCGGGAUGCUCU